CCCUUAGAUGUUCUGGGCCGCACGCGCGCUACACUGUUCGACGCAGCGAGUCUUAACCUUGACCGAAAGGUUUGGGUAAUCUUCAGCAAAGUCGAACGUGAUGGGGAUCGAUCAUUGCAAUUAUUGAUCGUGAACGAGGAAUUCCUAGUAAGUGCAAGUCAUCAGCUUGCGCUGAUUACGUCCCUGCCCUUUGUACACACCGCCCGUCGCUACUACCGAUUGAAUGGUUUAGUGAGAUCUCUGGAUUGACGCUGGCUAGGGGGCGACCCUUGGCCAGGCUGUCGAGAAACUGCUCAAACUUGAUCAUUUAGAGGAAGUAAAAGUCGGAACA
rnacentral:rRNA from 1 species